GGUGCCGAGGAACGGCGGCGUGGGCAGCGCCUCCAGCCGCCCCUGUGCGGCGUGGGGCCAGGGAUUGCCAAGAUGUACAUAUUUUGAAUCAUAAGAGACGGAACAGUGCUACAACCAGCUUAAUUGCCAAGCUUGCUUGAAGCAGCAGGCCAGCCAUUUCAAAGUGCAGAAAUGCAGAGAAGCAUCCCCAAAUCUGUUCUCUUUGCUUUCUGGGUGAAAUCCUGCUUUCAGAGGAAUCCAGGAGGGACUUGCUAUUGUCUUCAGAGUGGUGUUGGACUGUUGUCUAGGUGUUGUCAUCUUGGACAAUCCUUGAGCAUGCUAGUUACUGCUGUAUAUGUGGGAUUGGAAAGCAGAUGGAUGUGCAAAAAGUAUCCCAAGAAGAGACUGCUUACCUGAACCAAAACUAUGAACUUCCUACCAGAGAGAAUGUUCAUCUCCAGUUUGAUUGAGGAGAGUUGGCAGAAGCAGCACCUGGAGACCAGAUGGACUCUGCAUACCCACAGGUGUCCUUUCCCAAACAGGUGCACAAAUGUUUACAGCUGCAGCCUCAGGAUUAGAGCAUCUGCCUGCCUGUCCUCUCCUAGGAAAGGGGAGGAGGGACAGGGUGGAGAUGCGGAUCUCACUGUCACAUCACAUCCUUGGUGUGGGAGCACCGGGCACUGCGGAGCUAGCURUUGCGAGGGCUCUGCACUUCACUAGGUUUCACUAGGCUUGGUGGCUGAUGGGAGAAUGGAAGAUAAAAAGGCAAAAUAUGUAAGA